rnacentral:tRNA from 1 species
GCCUGAUUAGCUCAGUGGUAGAGCGUUGGCUUGUAAACCAAAGGUCGGAUGUUCAAUCCACCCAUUAGGCA